rnacentral:rRNA from 1 species
CUAGUCGUGCGCCUCCAAGCCACGGUGGAGGCGCGGCACACAGCUCAGUAACACGUGGCUAACCUACCCUUGGGACGGGGACAACUCCGGGAAACUGGAGCUAAUCCCCGAUAGGUGAAGACUCCUGGAAUGGGUCUUCGCCGAAAAGACGCCUAAACCAUGCUUUUAGGCGCCGCCCAAGGAUGGGGCCGUGGCCGAUCAGGUUGUUGGUGAGGUAACGGCUCACCAAGCCUAUAACCGGUACGGGCCGUGGGAGCGGGAGCCCGGAGAUGGGUACUGAGACAAGGGCCCAGGCCCUACGGGGCGCAGCAGUCGCGAAAACUCCGCAAUACACGAAAGUGUGACGGGGCCAUCCCGAGUGCCAUCCGCUGAGGAUGGCUUUUCCCCAGUGUAGACAGCUGAGGGAAUAAGGAGAGGGCAAGUCGGGUGUCAGCCGCCGCGGUAAUACCCGCUCUCCGAGUGGUGGGGACGCUUAUUGGGCCUAAAGCAUCCGUAGCCUGUUGGAUAAGUCCCCUGUUAAAUCCAGCGAUUCAAUCGUUGGACUGCGGGGGAUACUGUCCAGCUAGGGGGCGGGAGAGGCCGACGGUAUUCCCGGAGUAGGGGUGAAAUCUUAUAAUCCCGGGAGGACCACC